rnacentral:rRNA from 1 species
AGUCCUAUAACGAGCGCAACCCCUAUCGUUAGUUGCCAACAGGUAAUGCUGGGAACUCUAGCGAGACUGCCGGUGCAAACCGCGAGGAAGGUGGGGAUGACGUCAAAUCAUCACGGCCCUUACGUCCUGGGCUACACACGUGCUACAAUGGCCGGUACAGAGAGCAGCCACUCCGCGAGGAGGAGCGAAUCUAUAAAACCGGUCUCAGUUCGGAUCGCAGUCUGCAACUCGACUGCGUGAAGCUGGAAUCGCUAGUAAUCGGAUAUCAGCCAUGAUCCGGUGAAUACGUUCCCGGGCCUU